ensembl:lncRNA
GGUGAACUAUCCCUUUAAUUUAUUAACAUCAUAAUUUAGCCUACUGUUAAACAGUGUCCCAAAAUAACAUUCUCUGUCCCACAUUUGGUUUGCUGUGAAUGUGUCACCUUACCUUUUUUACAUGUGAUAGGAUCAGCCACUUGCACUGCUCUGUUUUGCAGGAAGCUGAAUCUUGCAUCUUAACCCCAACUUCAAUGGAAAAAAGAACUGCCCCUACAUGAGAACACGAUUCUGAUAGUCUGUGAACAGAAUACAAUAUGACAUUUUUUAAACCUCAAAUGCAAACUGCACAAGUGGCAAAGUGCCAUAUACAGUAUAUCAGCACAUUUUGAUGAUGUGCAAUAUAGCCUACUUAUACUAAUAUGGAUGGAGUAGCAUUUUACAUUAAUCAACAUCUUUAUUCCUUAAAGCUCUCUCUCCGCUGGUUCUGAAGUACACAGUAUGCUACCAGUACGGUGUGUGUGUGUGUGUGUGUGUGUGUGUGUGUGUGUGUGUGUGUGUGAGAUCUCGUUGUAAACAAUCUAGCCAAAUUACGUACCCUGCCAUGCAAUUGCAAUGAGCUGCAAUGACUUCUCCAUUACGUACCCUGCCAUGCAAUUGCAAUGAGCUGCAAUGACUUCUCCAUCCUCCUUCGCAAUAAUCUAGGUCUUCAGAGGUGUGUCGCUUGACCUCUGAGAGUGGUUUACCUUGGAACAUAGACGACUGUCAGACUAACGUCGUUGUUAAGAUGUGUUGCAUUACUGCUAGCAUCUUAGCACAUGAAACAAUAUAAGAACAAACACUCACUCUGGCAAAGACCAAACAAUGUUCAUCGUGGAGCCGUUUGACACCGAGGUUGUGGACCCACCUGUUGACAAAAAAACUUUUAUAGGCCUUCAUUUGCUGUCUGGUGUAGUACAAUGUCUGAAGGACCAGAUAGUUGGUGAAGUCAACAGCCUCAACUGUCGGUAAAUCUUUCAGUUCUACUGAAAACUCAUUCAUCUUCAUGAGGUGCGGGUCAUGUCCAACAUAUCUGUUAAUUAACUCCUUGUAUCUAUGUCUCGAAACUGGAUCUAAAUCCGUACAAUACUGACUCUCUGCAACAGUUUCCUCUAUAGACGUAUUCUCCAUGUUUACUUCCUGCCCUCCAUCUGCCUUCUUCCCGCCCAUGCGCAUCAUCAUAAUCAUGUGACUGAAACCCUGCUAUUAACAUCUCUGUUUUUUUCAGAAUUUAUCAGUAAGAAAUGACCCGUCUUCCAGUUUUUAUAUCGACAAUGCAUUCCGUUCAUUUUUCAAAUUGGUAUGUUUGCCGGGCCGUGAAGAAAUAUAGAGCUGAGUGUCAUCUGCAUAAUCUAAUCUCCCAGGGGUAACAUGUAAAGUGUGAAAAGUAACGGCCCUAGUACUG